rnacentral:rRNA from 1 species
AACGAACGCUGGCGGCAGGCUUAACACAUGCAAGUCGAACGCCCCGCAAGGGGAGUGGCAGACGGGUGAGUAACGUGUGGGAACAUACCCUUUUCUACGGAAUAGCUCCGGGAAACUGGAGCUAAUACCGCAUACGCCCUUAGGGGAAAGAUUUAUCGGGGAUGGAUGAGCCCGCGUUGGAUUAGCUAGUUGGUGGGGUAAAGGCCUACCAAGGCGACGAUCCAUAGCUGGUCUGAGAGGAUGAUCAGCCACAUUGGGACUGAGACACGGCCCAAACUCCUACGGGAGGCAGCAGUGGGGAAUAUUGGACAAUGGGCGCAAGCCUGAUCCAGCCAUGCCGCGUGAGUGAUGAAGGCCUUAGGGUUGUAAAGCUCUUUCACCGGAGAAGAUAAUGACGGUAUCCGGAGAAGAAGCCCCGGCUAACUUCGUGCCAGCAGCCGCAGUAACAC